UGUAGUUCUGUUUUAAAAACGGAUGAAGGUUUUGAUGAGAUGACACUGGCGAUGAUGCAUGUUGAAGACGAUGCUUUCCUUAAGUUAAGACCUAUAUUAGUUUUGAUUCUUAGACAUACCCAUAUAUAUAGACUGGCCAGUAAGACUAUGUUUCCUCGAUCAUGUUUAUGUCCUCUUUGGGAGGGAGGGGGGAGGUUGUGAACUAAUCUAAAACGUGUGCUCUUCAGUUUUAAAAAAACAAAAAGGGAGUGGGGAUCUGGGAGAAGGUUUUCGUGCUGCCUUUAGCAAUUAAAAAAAAGUUGCCCCAGUCUGAAUUUGAACUCAAGCUUCGAUCGCCUCGUUGGAAGGCCGACAUGUUUGACACUGUACUAUUCAAGUACUUAUAAAAUUAUAAAAUUUAUAGUCUUUUGUUAAUUGUUGCGAACUACCUAAUUUUCUACAUAAGACUUAUCUCGCAUUAGCUUUGUAAAUUGUCUAUAUAAAACAAAAUUAAUUAAUCACGACUUAUUGAUUAACUAACUUGCUUUUUUUCAAUAGAUUCGUGUAGUUAUCAAUAAAUAAUUGUGGGAAGUUUCACCUUGAUCCGAGAAUGGGAAAGUGUUACAGAUUCCAGACAAACAGAAGGAUGGAGUGAGUCUAUAUAAGCUAUGAAGAAAGUAAUGUGCUACCAUAUUAAUUUCCGCGUGUGGCGAAUCAAAGAAAAAUAAUGUCUAACAGAGCGAAGAAUUAAGUACGGUUGAAUGUUAACAUAGCUGAGCUCUUCAAGACCUUAACUCUAGUAGAAUGUUAACUUAGCUGAGCUC